AGGUGGCUGGGUUUUUUUGAUAGCAAGGGGGGCUACAUAGGGUGGCUUCAAUUAGAAGCUGCUAGAAGUUUCCCCCCAGUGAAGCCAAUGAUAGCUGGCUACAGGAGGGACUUCCUGCUGCUAGCCAAGGGACAGCCAACAAUUAUGCCUCUGUGAGGCGUAAUAUUUACGAACGAGGUUGUUGCGCAGAAGAAUUCGAGCCAGAGGAGAGCUGACUGAAGCUCCCAGGUGGCCCUGCUGCCUCCUCCACUGUGGGGGUGGGAGCGGCAGCAGCCCGGCCUGGGCCUCUUGGCACCCAGCCCGGAGCAGGCAGUGGUGCCCUGGCUGAGCUGCCUGUGCUGCUCUCGGCAGUGCUGGCCCAGCUGAGUAGUGGUCCCUGCGAAGGGGUGGCUGGGGUAGGGGCCGGGGUGUGCGGCCCCGUGGAGAGCGGCCCUGCAGCCCCCCAGGCCUGCCCCACGAGCAGCCCGUGCUGGAGCCUCUCCUGCCUGAGGAACCAAACAGCACCGACAGUGCCAAAGCCCCCAAGGUGAACUGUGAGGGGUGGGAGGAGGGUGGCCUGAGGGCUAGGCCAGGGCAGCAGAGUGGCCCCUGCCGGCAGGCACUGCCCUCCCUUCCUCACUGGGCCGAAUCAAGCCAGGCCAGGGGCCGGGACUGGGGCGGCCUGUCGUGGUUCAGCUGAGCCCCACGCUGGAGCAGAUGGAUGCAUGCAAGAAGGCCAUUACCCAUGGAUGGAGCGGAGUCCUUCAAGAAACUUGGGGCCCAUGGAGAGGAAAAUCCACGCUGGAGCAGGUUAUUCCCAGUGGUCUGUGUCUACCUAUGUCUAAAAGCAGUUUCCCGGUGCAAAAGGAAACCAGACUUUCUGAGCUUUAUGCAGAAGUGGGUAAUGAGAGCCAAGUCCUGACUAGAAGCAGCAACCAAACCAGGCAAGGUGAGCAAUAGUGAGGAACAUUGUCUCGUGCUGCACUAGGCAGCCAAGAGGAAAAUGAAAAAUGAAUACUUGGCAACCCAAAUGCCUCAGGUAUGUGUUGACAUAUUAUAUCUUAUACCACAAGCACCAUAAGUACUGUUACUUAAUUAAAAUGCUUUCUGUAAACCACUGAGAAAACACCCAAAGUAUCCCAUAUAUAGAAGCUUGCAUAGACAAUAGUUUGGUAAACUGUUCCUCUGUAGGUAAUUUGGAGGGAGGAACUCUGAAUGUUAAACAUGCAGCUUAUGUUUUGGGAUAUCUCUCCUUUUGUACUCUUCUUUUGUGAUCUCUGAGCCAAAUAAUAGACUGAUCAUAAUGUUAAAAUGAAAAAUCUAGUUCCCUUAGUGAAGGAGUAAGCUUCAACUGAGCAGCAUCACUUCACCCUGAGCAGUGUAAGCUCAAAGUCUGAUGUUGCUUAAACACACUCAGCUGACUCAUGUCGUUUUGUCAGUAUAUGAUGGAUUUGGAUUUGCACCCAGAAAGAAUCAGGUUGAAUAUUAGUAAUAAUAGGGUUACUGAAGCAUGGAAAGAAUUUGCCCACUGAGACUGUAUUGUCUCCUUCACUAGCGAAUUUAAGGACUGGCUAUAUAAACAUGCAUCGGGAAUGAAAAAGAUAUAGUCCAUCUUAUCUUGUGCCAGAGAACUCAGUGACCUCUUAAAGCCCCUCUCAGCUUUAUUUUCCUAUGAUUCUGUGAAGAUUUUAAAAUAAAUACAAUAAAAGCUUUGAGAUGCUCACAGACUGCAGUAAAGGAGCCAUAUAAUGUUUUGAAUAGAUUACAUCAAUGCUGUCUUCCUGGGAUUUUUGCUCGGUAAGCAACUUUGAACUACAGCUUUUCUCAACACUUAUGCUACUGAAUCCUUCAAUUUAUUUCUAUUGAAGCUUUUAUUCUUAGAUUCAUAUAAAGAAAUUAGGCACCUGAACAGAAAGGAACACAUUCUGAUCAUUAGGAAUGGAGUAAUAUAAAUGCUAAGAAAUGUAAAUACCUUUAUAAAGAAUGUUUCUCUGAUAUAUACCAUUUCUUAUUUGACCUUUGGAAACCUUUUUCAAUUCUGACUGCUGUGCAGUCAUACGUACAUGCAAAUCCCAGAGAGUUUUAGGAGUAUUUUCUGGUUUUCAAGCCUUUCAAUACUGCCAAUGGAAAAAGAAAAGUUUUCUGUGGUAAAAGCUUCAUUUUGGUGUAAAUUUUAGAGAUGAAAUCAAAUGAUAGUAUUAAUUGCUGCAAUGUAAUUUAGUUAUGGCAAUAUGCAAGAAAUUGAAAAUUACCAUAAAAAGUACCUGAAAACAUAAAUAUAACAAAAAUUUAGAAUUUAGGUAUGCUAUGUGUGAGUUUAUUUUAUAUCCUAAUAAUAUGUCUAAUUUGUGUAACAAUAAUAUAAAAAUUUAUCACAAUCAAUUUUUUUCUUGAAAGAUUUUUUUUCCCACAAGAGCAAAGCAAUAGCACCAUCUAGAAGAAGCACACUUUCAGUUAUGUAUUAGUCUUUUCAUAUCUCUAUUUUCUUCCUCCUUUCUUUCUACUGGCUGGAAGAUAGACCUAAUGUGCUUCUGUCUCCUAAUUUGGUCAAAUUUGCAUGCACUUUUAAUACUUUUAUUAAUAGCAUGAAGUAUCAAAUAUUUAAGUUAGAAUGAUAUUCUUCCAUUUAAAGUAAGGUGUCUACAAAGCUUUUCAGUGAAAAAAAUUCACAGAGGA